AUGGGCAGGGACCCAUUCCAAUAGACCUGGUUUGUCAUUCCUGCACUGAGGACCCUAGAGAUGGAUGCAGUAUUCUAGGUGGGAUUUUGUGACAGUGGAAUAGAGGGGCAGAAUCACUUCCCCUGACCUGCUGGACACACUUCUUACUUCAGUGUAGCGAUUUACAGAAUGCAGAUGUCUUUCAUCGAACAGUAAGGUAAAAACAUCAAGGUAAAAGCUCUCUUUUUUUUCUUAAAUAAGGAAAACAUAUCAAACCUGAGUCAUUCAUACUAGGAACAGUUCUGGACUACCAGCCAGCAUACCUACAUAGGACACUACAUCAGAAAUAAAUUCAAUACAAGAUCAGAUUCUUUUGAGGCACACAAUAAAGCAGGUGUCCUAGUGAAAGGACAAACUUCACUUGGAUAAAUUUGUUUUUCUGGCAAAAGUAUGAAGUACUUGUAUAGGAUCUAAAAUAUCUAGGUAGAUCCAGCAUGUAUUAUUACUUCAGC